GAUGAAGAACGUAGCGAAAUGCGAUAAGUAAUGCGAAUUGCAGAUCUCCGUGAGUCAUUGAAUCUUUGAACGCACAUUGCGCCCUCGGGUAUUCCCGAGGGCAUGCCUGUCCGAGCGUCAUUAUCCAACCAUCAAGCUCGGCUUGUGGUUGAGCCCCGCACCGUCCCCGGGACGGUGGGCUCGAAACAUGUUGGGCGCCCGUGAGGUUGUCGGUGCAGCGAGCUCUCGAGCACGUGCCGGGCAACCGCUCUGGGCGUCGGCCAGCCCCCCCAUUUUCUCAGGUUGACCUCGGAUCAGGUAGGAAUACCCGCUGAACUUAAGCAUAUCAAUAAGCGGAGGA
rnacentral:misc_RNA from 1 species